CUUCACUCCAUACGUGCAUCAAUGAGUCUUGGUCACCCAUGUCCCUGAUGUCGUUUCACCGGUUGUCUUUCCUUGCACCACUUUUGGUAGGUACUGCAGGCCGGGAACAAGCUGUUUUGGAGAUGCUCUGAUCCAGUCAUUUUAGCCAUCAUCUCCAAUCAAUCUUAUUCACUUAAGUGGUCAGUGGUUUUAUUGUUGUGACUGAUUAUUGUAAGCUGAAUAGGCCAUGUGGGGUGCAACAUUGG